AGAAGUAAUGUCCGCUGCAGUGCAAUCAGCAGCACCUGUGCUUCUCCUACUACCACCUCAAGACAACAUGUCUGCAGACGGCUGGACAUGUUGACAUUAGAGCGGAUGAACUCAUGGAUUUAUGAUGAUGUGCUUCAUGAAGACGUGUGGAGGACGUUAUGAGGUGUGAGCGGGCUGUGAUGACCAUCUGAACGCUGUUCCUCACCUGUCUGCUUGAGUGUGCCCCAUCAUACAGAUUGGUGCAUCUCGGAUGCGUUUGGGGGAGUGAGUUCCAGUGGCCGGGGACAGCUAUGGAGAAUGCCCCGUCUCCUCAGGUCCAGGGCUUGGUUCUUAGUGCUGGAGACAGGAGGUUGGCAUCACAGGAGCUGAGACUGCAGGAAGGAGUGUGGCGGUGGAGCGGACUCCACGAAGAAGAACUCGGAGCCUUCCAGCCAGCACACUGACGAGGACCUGCGUAAGCUCAGGAGGAGGCGCAGCCGAAGUCAGCGGCGGAGGAGACGGUUCCGGGCGAGUCGGGCUCCAGCUUCAGCGCGGGCCAGAGGCUGACGGCGCGGAGCAGUACUCCACUCUGCGUUAGAGCGGGGCACUAUAUCGGCGCAGUCUGGGACGCGUUUGGAGAGCGACUUCCAGAGGGACGGAACAGCUACGGAGAACGCUCCGUCGCCGCAGGUCUCGGUUCUCAGAGGCGGAGCCGGGAGGUCGGCAUCACGGUAAGU